AGUGAACGCUGGCGGAGUGCCUAAUACAUGCAAGUCGAACGUGAAAGCCUUCGGGUGAGUAAAGUGGCGCACGGGUGAGUAAUGGAUGAGAACAUGCCCUGAAGUGGGGAAUAACUACGGGAAACUGUAGCUAAUACCGCAUGGCAUCGGAAGAUUAAAGGUGGGGAUCGUAAGACCUACCGCUUCAGGAUUGGCUCAUCUCCCAUUAGCUAGUUGGCAGGGUAAUGGCCUACCAAGGCAACGAUGGGUACGUGGUCUGAGAGGAUGAUCACGCACACUGGAACUGAGACACGGUCCAGACUCCUACGGGAGGCAGCAGUAGGGAAUAUUGGACAAUGGGCGCAAGCCUGAUCCAGCAAUGCCGCGUGGGUGAAGAAGGUCUUCGGAUCGUAAAGCCCUUUCGACAGGGACGAUGAUGACGGUACCUGUAGAAGAAGCCCCGGCUAACUUCGUGCCAGCAGCCGCUGUAA
rnacentral:rRNA from 1 species